AUGGAGCUCGAUGAUGCCCUUCUUGUCGCUCUCGGCCACCUCGUCCAUGACGCCGCGGAACCAGUCGAAGGAGCCUUCCUCCCGCGUCACCCAGUAGAAGUAGGCGCGCCGCGUCCGGAACGACGCCGCCGACACGCUCCUGUCGCUGGGGCUGCCGGACUCGAUGUCGCCGUCGAGCCGCUUCAUGUUGUUGAUGAUGUCCUUGAUGAUGGAGAUCAUGGGCGUGGCCCCGAUGCCCAGCCCCACCAGCAGCACCACGUCGUACUGCUUGUAGUCCUGCGCCGGCGCGCCGUACGGCCCGUCGAUCAGCACCGUGGGGAAGCUGCUCGGGCUGGGCAUGGCGCCGCCGUCACCGGCGUACUCUGCCCGGAGCAGCCCGCUCUUCCCGUCCGUCGGCGGCCGGCAAACCUUCUCGAAGACGCUCUUGAGCUCCCGGGUCCAGUCGCCGAGCGUCCUGAUGUGGACGCUGAUGUAGUCGUCGUGCGGCGCCGACGUGAUGGAGAAGGGGUGCCACUGGAACGGCGAGACGGCGGCGCAGUUGACGAAGAUGUACUGCCCGCUCUUGCACCUGAACCCCUGCGGCUUGGAGAAGCGCAGCGACAGCACGUUGCCGGGGUACACGGCCACCUUGAGUAUCUUCACCGGCCGCACGCUGGACCGGAGCGCCCGCGCCAGCCGCUCGCACGCGUACAGGACCAUCGGCGCCGCCAGGUACAUCCACGUCGACUUCUUCUGCCACUUCUUGGUGAGGUAGAGGAAGUGGCCGUGGACGAUGAGCAGCGCGUAGACGAUGAUGAAGAGGUGGUGGGUGUACCAGAAGGCGUUGAACCCGGUGAGCCGGCUGAGCGGCCCCGGGAGGCGGACCCUGCCGCGGCGGAACCAGGGCGUGGCGAGCGUGAAGGCGACGGCCAUGAGCGCCAGCAUGACCAGCCCCGUCCACCCCUCCGUGCCCUUGACGAACCACCAGUAGUUGGGCGGCUUGACGUCGCCGAAGAAGGGCUUCAUCGGCUCGUACUCCUCCUCGGUGGCGUGCAGCAGCCGCGGGAAGUCGCACGCCAAAUGGGAGAUGAUGUGCAUCCCGGCGCCGACGGUGAUCCCCGCGGCGAUCACCUUGUGGAAGUUGAGGUUGUCGUCGAACGAAGGUCUGCAGGCGGCUGUCGAAGCUGGUGUCGGAGAUCUGGUCCCAGAACUCGAGCAGCUCCGCCUUGCUGA
rnacentral:rRNA from 1 species